rnacentral:rRNA from 1 species
GCCGCGUGUGUGAAGAAGGCCUGCGGGUUGUAAAGCACUUUCAGUAGGGAGGAAACUGUAACGGAAUAAUACCCGUUACCCUGACGUUACCUACAGAAGAAGCACCGGCUAACUCUGUGCCAGCAGCCGCGGUAAUAAUCACU